CGUGGGUGAUCUGCCCUCAACUUUGGGAUAAGCCUGGGAAACUGGGUCUAAUACCGGAUAGGAACAAUCUUUAGUGUGGUUGUUGGAAAGYUUUUGCGGUKGGGGAUGAGCUCGCGGCCUAUCAGCUUGUUGGUGGGGUAAUGGCCUACCAAGGCGUCGACGGGUAGCCGGCCUGAGAGGGUGUACGGCCACAUUGGGACUGAGAUACGGCCCAGACUCCUACGGGAGGCAGCAGUGGGGAAUAUUGCACAAUGGGCGGAAGCCUGAUGCAGCGACGCCGCGUGGGGGAUGAAGGCCUUCGGGUUGUAAACUCCUUUCGACAGGGACGAAGCUUUUGUGACGGUACCUGUAUAAGAAGCACCGGCUAACUACGUGCCAGCAGCCGCGGUAAUACGUAGGGUGCGAGCGUUGUCCGGAAUUACUGGGCGUAAAGAGCUCGUAGGUGGUUUGUCGCGUCGUCUGUGAAAUUCCGGGGCUUAACU
rnacentral:rRNA from 1 species